AAUUAUUUUAGGUCUCAUUCGGACUCAUGAAUAUUUCAUUCUUUAUAUCUCCUUAAUUUAUUAAAAAAUAUUUAUAUAUUUGGUAUAUAAAGAGAGGUAGCAUAUGUUUAUGGUGGAAUAAUAUAUUCGACCUUAAUAUUUACAAUUUGAGAAAAUACCGAGGAAAGACCACUAAAUGAUUUACUAGAAGCAUAAAUCAAUUACAUGAAAUUUACAAAGCUAAUUACAAAUUGUGUUGUUUGUAUUAAAGCCCGGCCCAUUAGAAAAUUUCGGCCUAUUUAGUUCAAAUAUAAUAGUAACCAAAGCCCAUCUCGCGCUAUGCGUGGGCAGCUCCUAGGACCAUUUACCAUAUACGUAUAUAUUAUACUGUGCUUUGUACAUUAUAAUAUACUGUAUAGUUUACUUUGUAUUUUAUAGUGCACUACACUCCCUCAAAUUUGAUUUAUUUUUUUUGGGGUGGGGGGUUUGACUGAGAUCCUUUUAGCUUUUGAGUUUUUUUUUUUUUUUUUUUUUUUUUUUUUUUUUUUUUUUUUUUUUUUUUUCCUGAGGUAGAGUGAUUUUGGUCAAAUAAAUUUAAAUAUACAAGAAUCUAAUAAUAAAAAGAUAAAAAGAAGUUGAGGGGUCUCAAUAAAAAGAAAAAUAAUUAAAAGGUCUAUUUCAGAAAAAGCCAAUACUUGAGGGGGGCUUCAUGCAUAUUUACAUAGAAAAAAAAGAGGGGUAUAUGGGCUAUAGUGGGUUGUUGGGCUGAGUUGUUCUUGGGUGAUGGGCCAUCACACCUCAUCUAAGUAUACUUCGGAGCCGGAUCUAACUAAUUUGGUCCACACGUUGAGCCCGGUAACAAAUGGGCCAGCUCCGAUUGCCCUUUUCCGUUUUGGGUAAAAUCUGGGAGUCUUUCCAUUUUAGGUAAAGUCACAAAUAGUAAAUCUCGUUAAUAGCCCUGGAAAGUUUCACUUACGGGCCCUAAUUUGCGCCCUCUUUUUUUUUUUGUUUCGACACAUAGCUUAUGUCAAUAUAUUCUAACAUCUAAAUUUAGUUUUAGGGCAUAUUCUAUUAAACAUGUUAAUUAAAGUGUGGCAUUUUUAAAUAGAUAUUUAAAAUUAUAAUUUUAAAUUGCCAUCUAAAUUUUCAUAAUUUUUUAAUGUCCCAAUUAAUAAAAGGCACAAAGAAAAACUAUUAAAUCCUACCAAAAAGGUGCUCGAAUCAAAUUUAAAUACACUGUUAGAGUAAAACUAUAACAUCAAAAUUUUAAAAGUUCACUCUCUUUAUUAUUUACAAUCUGAUUAAAGAGAAAAAAAAAAAAAAUUGCGGUGAAUCUUCCCAUUUUGAUAUUACUCCCCCCCAAAAAAAAUUCCAUUCAUUUUUAAAAAAGAGAAAAAAAAGGUAAGAAAUUUAUGACCCAAUGUAUAUUUCAGGCCCUGAAAGUGAAGCUUUCCAUUUUGGGCUAAUUCACGAGAGUUGCUAUUUUCGACUUUACUUAAAAUGGAAAGCUUACUGAAAAUGGCAAAAGGUGAAACGGUGUGUUAGACGAACUGGACCGGCCGUUGGGCCGCCCCGAUAAGACCCAUUUUGUUGAAACAGCUCACCGACCUUUGAAGUUGUUGGCCGUUAUAACCCAUUUCCCUUAAUAGCCGGAUUGGGCCCAGCUCCUGGCGUUAACCUUCCGUUCUUGGUAAAAAAUAGAAACUCUCGUGAGUAACCCAAAAUAGAAAGUUUCACUUUGCGGAGCUAAAUAUGAGGCUGUAACUUGCUCUUUUUUUGUUUGCUUUUUUUUAAAAAAAUUCUUUGGUUGAGGCACUUUUUUUUCCCUUUUUGACCAAUCAUAAAUAGAUAAAUUUGAAGAUUCACGGAUUUUUUUUUUUAUUUAUAUUAAUCAAAAAUAGAUAAUUUGAGAACGCUCGCAAGAUUUUUUAUUUGUUUUCAUUUUUUUUUCUUUUUUGAAGUUAAGAGGCUAUAAUAUAGAUAAUUCUUAUGCGUGAUUUUAACAAAUUGUAAAAAAACUUAUGGCCCAGCAUAUAUUUUUGGCCCCAAAAGUGAAACUUUCCAUUUUGGGCUAAUUCACGAGAGUUCCAAUUUUCGACUUUACCUAAAAUGGAAAGCUUACCGAAAAUGGCAAAAGGAGACAACGGUGUGUUACGACCCAUUUUCUCGAAACAGCCUACCGACUUUUGAACUUGUGGUCCGUUAUAACUCAUUCCCUUAAUAGGCCGGAUUGGGCCCAGCUCCUAGCAUUAACCUUCCGUUUUUGGUAAAAUUUCCAUUUAAGGUAAAGUCGGAAAUAGUAACUAUCGUGAAUUACCCCAAAAUGGGAAGUUUUCACUCUGCCGAGUUUAAUGUAUGUUAGGCUGUAACUUGUUUUUUUUUAUUAUGCUUUUUAAAAAAAUUCUUUUGUUGAGACACUUUUUUUCCUUUUUGAGCAAUCAUAAAUAGAUAAAUUUGAAGAAAACUCACGGAAAUUUUCUUUUUGAUUUGUAUCAAGCUUUUUUAUUUGUUUUCUUUUUUUUUUUCUCUUUUUUUGAGUUAAGAUGCUAUAAUAUAGACAAUUCUUAUGCGUUAUUUUUUAAAAAAAUUUUAAAAAAGCUUAUGACCAAGCAUAUAUUUCCGGCCCAAUAGUGAAACUUUCCAUUUUGGGCUAAUUCACGAGAGUUGCUAUUUUCAACUUUACCUAAAAUGGAAAGCUUACCCAAAAUGGCAAAAGGUGAGAACUGUGUUUUAGACGAAUCGGACCGGUCCUUGGGCCGGCUCGUUAAGAUCCAUUUUAUUGAAGCAGCUUUAUCGACCUUUGGAGUUGUGGGCCGUUACAAGACCCAUUUCCAUUAAUGGGCCGGUUUUUGAUAAAAAUUAACGAACUUUCCAUUUAAGGUAAAGUCUGAAAUAGUAACUGUCGUGAAUAGCCCCAAAAUGGAAAGUUUCACAUGCCAGGCCCAAUUUGCCUUUUUUUUAAUUUUUUGUUUUCCUUUUUUCUUUUUUGGUUAAGGACUUAAGGCUCGGGAUUGUUAUUGCUUUUAUCUUAAACAAUUAAAAAUAGUUAAAUUUGCAGAAAAGUCACCAAAAUUUUCUCUUUUUUUUUAUUUUUAUUUUGAUAGAGUAAUAAAAAUAGCUAAAUAUGGAGAACACUCACCCAAACUUUUUUUUUAUUUUUUAUUUUUUUAUUGAGUUAAAGAGACUAUAUCACUCAACUAAGCCCUUCUUUUUAUUUUUUGUUUUCCUUUAUUGGUAUGUAAAUUAAAUACCAAUAAUGAGACUAAAUACUCUAAUUGGUGGUUGAAAUAAGUUAUCCAAUAUCAUCUACAAUCAACAAAAAAAAUUUUUUAUCGUGAUUAAAAGCUUGGAAUUGAUGAGAUGUCUAGCAUAAAAUAGCAUAUUUUCUCCACCUAAUUAAUUCUUAGAACAAGAGAACUCAUGAAACGUACUAAGUUCUUAUAAAAAUAAUUUAUUUGACAUAAAAAUUAUGUAAUGAAAUUAUAAAUAAGAAAUUUGGCCUUUUCUCUUUAAAAGGUCUUGAAAUUCAUAUAAUUAUAUUAUAUUUCAUCCACGAGGUAAUUAAUUUUACUCCCAAAAAUUAACUUAAAAGCACAGCAACCUGAUAGCAAGUUAGAAAAGGUUCCAUUCAUUAAGGUUUAGGCCCAUUUAAUCAUGUUAUAUGCUUGGUCAUUUUCUAUGGGCUCAACGUGGAGGCCCAUUUAAGCAAAUGCGACGCCUUAUUAUUACUAGGCUAGGUUUAACUGCUUUUCAUGGUUGGGCUGGGUCCGAAUAGCAUUUGCUCUUAUCUAACGGGAGUUGUGGUGGCCCACAGCUCAACAACAACUCGGCCUAGCCACCCAUUUUAGCCCAGAUACCUUUUCUUUUCCCCCUCGGCAAAAAUAUUGCACGAAGGCCCCCUCAAGUCUCAAGAAUUGAACUUCUGUGAUAUAGACCUCUCGACUUCUUUUUUCUUUUUUGUUAAAAAUUAGAUUCUGAUACAUUUUAAGUUUAUUUGGCCAAAAUCUAACUUGAACUCAGAAAGAACCAACAUUUAAGGAGAUCACGAUAAUAGAAGAAAAAAAAAAAAUCAAAGUUGAAGGCGAUUCCGAAAUGACCAAGUAUUGAGGGGGGCUCCAUGCAUUUUUACCUAUUUCUUCUUUCUUUUUUAUUCAACUAAUCAACUUGGAAGUUCCCACAAUAUUAUAAAAAAAAAUAAAAAUCAGCCAGGAAAAAGAAAGGAAAAACUAAAACUAAAACAUACACCCAACAGUAAAAUUGACAAGCUUCGACCAAGAGUUUUAAAAUUCGAAACCAUUUCAGACCUGAUAGAUUGCUAUCCAAAGCAAAAAUAAAAAUAUAUAUUGCUAUCCUGCAAGUACGAACAAUUACAGACUCGAUGAUUAUGGAGAAUAGAUAAUCAAUGAUUUCACCAGGUUGGAUGACAUCAACAUAACAUGGCAAAUAUUUAAUUAUUACUUUAUAUAUUAUAUACAGUAAAAAAUUAUAUCCUAAUUAAAAAUAUAUUUAAAGUGUAGAUAAUUAAAAAAAACUAAUACGUUUUUCUAGUUAAUUAUUAAAAUAUAAAAUAAAGAUGAACCUAACUACUACUAAUAAAAUUGCGCUGGUUCACCAAUUUAUUAGUUGAACCACAAGCUCGAUCUCGAAGCUUGAGGGGGGCUUCAUGCAUAUCUACCUAGCCCAAAAAAAGGAGUAUAUGGGCUAAAAUGUUUUUCUUGGGCCGAGUUGUUGUUGGGCGAUGGACCAUCACAUCUCUCUUAGAUGGAAGAGGAAAAACUCCGGAGCCGGAUCUAAUUUAGUAGGCCCACAAGUUGAGCCCAGACAAAAUGGGCCAGCCCCGCUUCCCCUUUUCCGUUUUGGGUAAAAUGGCGGAGUCUUUCCAUUUUAGGUAAAGUGAGAAAUAGUAAGUCUCUUUAAUAGCCACUUCCGGGCCCUAAUUUGUGCCCCCUUUUCUUUUUUGACACAUGGCAUAUGUCAAUAUAUUCUAACACUGGAUCAUCUAAUCCCCAAAAUAAAAUUAGUUUUAGGGCAUAUAUAUUCUAUUAAACAUGUUAAUUAAAGUGUGCAAUUUUUAAAUAGAUAUUUAAAAUUUAAAUUUUUUAAAUUACCAUCUAAACUUUCAUUACAUCUUAAUGUCCCAAUUAAUAAAAAGCACAAAGAAAUGCUAUUAAAUUAUACGAAAAAAAUACUUGGAUCUAAUUUAAAUACACCGUUAGAGUGAAAUUAUAAUAUCAAAAUUAUAAUAGUUUAUUUUUACAAAAAAAAUAUCAAAAUUAUUUUUUAUGUUUAAUACUAUACAUCUUUUUGAAUUUAGAUAUAUAGAAAAUGUAAAAAUUAGGUAAAAAACAAUAAUUCGUCAUUUUUUAAAUAGGGUAAAUAAUUUAUCUCUUAGGUUUGAGUUUAUAAUUAAAAAUUUUGAAUGUUUAUUCUUACAAUAAAAAAAAAAAGUUGUAGUUUUAUAAAUAAAAAUUUUGCUGACUUUCUACUACCCCAAUUUCAAAAUAAGGAAGGUAUUAUGACACAAAAAAUGCUAUUAAAUUCUACCAAAAAGUUGCUAAGAUAAAAUUUAAAUAUAAUGUUAUGUAAAAUAAUAAAAUUAUUUUUUAAAAAAGUUCACUCAAAUAUAUUGUUAGAGUAAAAGAGUAAAAUCAAUACAUUUCUUUUGCAUCACAAAUGACGCACUGAGGCAGCACAUAUUUUCGGCCCCAAUAACGAAACUUUUCAUUUUGGGGCUUUCCCGAUACUGGGCCCUUGGCCUCCCCGUUAAGGUACAUUUUAUUUACACAGCAUAUCCAUCUUUGAUUAAGCGGGAUGUUAUUGGAUCCUUUUUCUUAUGGGCGGAUUAGGCCCAUCUCCGGUAAAAUGGCGAGAUUCUCCUUUUUUACGUAAAGCCGGAAAUAGUAACUCUCGUUAAUAAAUAAUAUUUUUUUAAGAUAUAUAUUUUAUAUAUAAUAAAUAUAUAUUCUCUUUUAAAAGAGUAAAAUCAAUAUUUUAAAAGUUUACUCUCCUUUACUUAUGCACAAUCUGAUUAAAAAAAAAUGAAAAAAUAAAAAUUAAACUUGUGGUGAAUCUUCCCAUUUCACUAUUGCUCCCUCAAAAUUUUUCAUUAACAAAUCAUCUAUUUUUCAUGAUAACUCCCGAAUAGAAAAAAAUUUAAAUAAAAUAAAAUAAAAAAUAUUUUGCGUUAUUUUUUUAAAAAAGGGUGGAAAACGUGUGAAGCAAUACAUAAUUUCGGCCCCAAUAGGAAACCUUCUGGGCCAACCGUACUGGGCCCCUUGCAGGCCCGUAAGGCCCGUUUUAUUUAUACGGCAUAUACAUCUUUGAUUAAGUGGGCUGUGAUUGGUUCCAUUUUCUCUUAUGGGCCAGAUUUGGCCUAUCUGUCAUUUAACCUUCCAUGGUAAAAUAGCGGGACUUUCCUUUUUAGGCAAAGUCGGAAAUAGUAACUUUCGUUAAUAGCCAAAAAAACGGAAAGUUUCACUUGCCGGGCUCAAUAUUAAAUUGCAAAUUUUUCUUUUUCUUUUCCCUUGAUCCCCUCUUAAGAUCUAGGUGGUAAGUUCCGAAACUUUGAACCAUAUUCUCUCCUUGUGUAGGUGUGUUAAAGUGCACACCCCCACCCCCCACCCCCCUUCUUUGAUGAAAUUAUAUUUUUUUGUUAUAUAAUUAUUCUAGGUCUCAUCUAGGAAAAAUUUUAGAAUGCAACGAGUAUAUUUGUGACGUGGCGUAACAAACCAAUCAAAUAUCUCAUUUUAGAAGUAUAUGUCCUAUCAUGAUUGUAAAAAAAAAAAUUUAUUGUACUUUUGUUUGAAAAGAAUGAAUAUAAUUUGCUUGUUAUUGAUGAUGUGGUGCAAGUGUGACAGUAUAGGAUUCCUACUCAUCCAGACUCAUAAAUAUUUUAUUUCUUAUAUCUCUUUGAUUGAUUAAAAAAUGUUUAUAUAUUUUGUACAUAAAAAGAGAUGGCAUAUGUCUAUAGUGGAAUAAUAUAUUGUACCUUUAAAUUUUUUUGUUCAUAAUAGAUAAGUUACUUCAUAUUUUAAAUUUGCUAUCCUACACACAUGAAUAUCAAGACCUUCAAUUUAAAAUCUUUUAUUGUAAUCAUAUUAGAUAAAUCUUAUGCU
rnacentral:lncRNA from 1 species